rnacentral:lncRNA from 1 species
CUUCUUCACACAAAUUCAGACUUGAAAGAUUCUUUAUCAAACCUCAGUAUUAUAAUUCUUCCAUUUAUAACCAUUCUUCAUUAAUACUUCCAAUUGUCCAGUUACAAUUCUCUACUAUGUUCAUCUACAAUAAAUUCCAUACUUCAUAUACAACAUUAAAUCUCUUUUUUCCAUUCUAGAAUUUCACUUCACAUUAUUCAAAAACUAUUCAUUACUCUUCAACUACAAAGAAAGAAAGAAAACAAAGAGGUAGCACCAAGCUUAUAUUGGCUCAUAACUAUCACAGUCU